UUAUAUGAAGAAACUAUAAGCAGUAAAAGGAACAAUGACUGCAAAGCAACAAAACAUAGUGGCACCAAAAAACCAACGAGAAAUGUAUUGGUCAAAUAUGGAUACGACAUGUGGACAACUCAAAAACAGCACAAGUUUAGUCAGCUCCAAGUCAUCAAAGUUCACUCCAGCAAGAGGUUAGAAAUAACCGCAGAUGCCUGCUUCAAAUCUAUAACAAGCUUACCCUGAACUCAUCAUGCCGGAGUAAGAUGGUCUUAUCCCACAAUCAAACAUCGGGUCAGUCGACAAAUGUAUGGAUAGGAUAAGCAUCCAGACUUGCCAACUCUGGAAUAUAUGGGAUCCUCUACGGCGGUUACAAAUCAACAGUGGCGAAUUUAUAGCUAAUUAUGGGGCACGUGAACCCAUGGUCUCAUCGUAAAACUAGGUAAUUAAUGUAUAUAUUUUUCUAAAAUUAGUAUAAUAUUAUUUGUUGGCACCCAUGCUACAAGAAGGCUAAAUGGUGCAGUUGAUUGAUGUUGAGUUAUUUGCCUAGAGGAGGAUCAGUUCCCACUGAAUACAUUUUUUUCUUUCUUUUUUAAGAGGUACAACCAUGUUUUAGAAAUCCUAUAUUCACCUCCACAAAUCAGUAUGUGUUACGUACGGGGUGUGCAUAUAACGAUCAUAAUGAGGAGCGAAUAUUAGGAAUUAGCUAUUCUAGUGUUGUACUAUAACUAUACUCCUUAUCCCCACUUGCAUCUCAUCUUAUUUUUACAACUACUAUUGCUUAAAUCUCAAGUUGUAACAAGCUAUUGUGUUCUUACUCAGAUACGUUGUUCAUUAGCUAAAUCACGAGUUCCCAAUAAAAAUUCUCUUUCUCUCUUGCUAUUUUAUCAUUUACACACUUCUCACAGUUUGUCUAAUAUCGUUUUAAUCAAAUUCAUAUUAUCGGGAGGUUAACUAUGUAGAUAAUUCACUUGCCUUUGACACUAUUCAAUAAAUAUAAUUGUUAAAUCUUUUUAUCAAUGAUUGUAGCGUUCGAACCAGCUUUCGCGCAUCUUGACUAAUUCUACGGGAUACCUGCCACCUCCCACCAACAAUAGGUACCACCAAGUAACUCUAUCCACCAAGGCUAGAGCUGAUGUGAAAUCACCUAGUUUUUUUGUUAUUGGUCUCGGAUUUGAACCUGAGACCUCAUGGUUCUCCCCCACUAAAUUUAAUUGUUAAUCUUUAAUCCAGAUUUUAGGUUAAACAAGAAAAUAUAACAAGAUUAAGAAUACAAUUUGCUACUGUUCUGACCAAAACACUCAUCCCAUUGUUAUUAUACCAACAACAUCCUAAUAUAAAAAAUCCCAAAUGCAAUCAAACAUAUCAUACACAGGAAAAGUGGCAAUCCAAUUACAUAUAAUGUGAUUUGGUCAAUCUUUCGGUAGGGACAUUCAUGAUUUCAACAACAGCAGAUAUCAAAAAAGAAAACUGCAAUAAUAUAAACUUGUAACCAUAAAAUCAACAGUGCAACUGACCACACACACCCCAAAUCAAAAUCUACAUUGACUAAGUUAUUAAUCCUAACAAAGACAAAUUUAACAAAAUUCGCAUCCGAGGUGUGACCUAGUAAUCAAUAAAAAAGGACCAAAAGCAUCUUGUGGGCACAUAUUCACCACUACACGAAAUCUAAGAAAGAUGACAAAAAACGCCUCCAUUACACAUACACAUAGCAGAUGAAAGAGAAAAUCUAUAUUUUAUCGAUCCAAUUAAAACACACAAACAAUAUGCAGAAUCACAAAAAU